rnacentral:tRNA from 1 species
GGGGUUGUGGCUCAGUGGUAGAGCUUUAACCUUAGCAUAUUUGAAGACCUGGGGUCGAUUCUCAGCACCACA